UCACUUUGAUAUUGACAAGGUCUACGAUAUCCCCAACCUGACUAUGGCUUGGAAGACCUUUAGGUACACGUUUCUGCAAAUUCUUGACAAACAUGCUCCUUUGGUUAAAUUACAAAUUAAAGGCAACCGCCCACCAUGGUUUGAUCCUUUGAUUAAAAAAAUGUGUCACAUUUUUCUAAGGACAAAAUAAUUCACUUCUUUAGCCUACCGGUGUGUUGAAGAGAGAAUCAACUGCAUUAUAAAAAUUUGAGUACGACGUUUCGCUGGCAAUUACAAUCAGCUUCAUCGGGCAAGAAUGGUGAAGCUCUCCUGUUGCUCCCGGUCUUAAAUAGAGCAGCAGCAGGGUGACGUCAUCAUUUAAACCUUUGUCCAAUUGAAUCUGUUGAUUAGCAUUACUCUGAUGUCAUCUACAUCAUGGACUAAAUUUUAGUUUUAUGUUCAUCGACUUGUUUUGCACGCAGUCAGCUUUUUUGCCUUCUAGUUGGCUAUAAUGUAUGUUGAAAUGUAGCUUGCAGGUGCACGCAUGAGAAAAAGUUGAACGACUGCAAAUGAGAGACAUCACGUUGACUGUUGAGAAAUCUAAGUGGCUUUGGGGGGGGGGGGGGCAGGCCUCGUCGCUAUAUGGGAUGAUGGCGGAUGCAUCGUAGACAACGGUGAAGGAAUGGCAGCCAGAGGAGAGAACUCUCCUGGCAAUAUGAGCACCGCUGAGCCUGAGCGACGAGACCACCUUGUGCAGGAACGCGAUUGGGAUCGUUUACAUUGCGAGGUCAUCAGGGAUUGGCAAGGACCCUGGAGAUGCGUUUUUCCAGCAGUGGAUAGAGCCUGGCUGACGAUAAUGGAAAACAAUAUCUGGGUUACAUAUUUUAUAUCGGCCAACCCACACGGUUUACCCGUAUUUUUGUACGGGCAAAUUGAGUGAAUAAAAAUGUCGAUUUGUUUGUGUUUCUUCCUUGUGAUGGGACUUUGGAGGAUGAACGUUUGAGAUUUAUAAGGGCACGGGGUGACCAAUAAUGUCUGAAUUGGUCUGUAGUAAGGUAGGUGCUGAUAAGGUGCAUGAUCUAUUUUAUGGCAAUGCAUCAUGACAGUAGUUGCUGAGCAAAAAUAAUAUUUUUUUGGUGCAUCUUGUUGUUUGCUUUCAGUUUGCACAGUCCGUCUCAGGUACUGUAAGGGUGAGGCUUAAAGGUGGAUAUUACAAAAAGGAAAGCAGUAUUUUUCGAAAAUACGAGCUUCCACAAUUUAAAUCAAGCGUGACUUACGUUCAUAUCUACGUUGUUAAAAACGAAAGUAUCAAGGAGACAUGCAAUUCUGGAGCUCAACUUCAGCUGUUUGAAGAUUUAAAGAAUAUGGAUGUACCUUACAUUUGCUAUGAUGACAUAACAACAAACUGCGCGUACUUCCUCGAUGAAAACUGCGAUACUAUCUGCCCUUCAAACAGCGUUGCUUUUCUCUGCAACAACCCUCUGACAUUUUUCCUUUUGGGUCUUGUGCUGUACAAUGCAUGGUAAUCCAGAGGGUGCAGCAGUGGCGAGAUGCCAAGUCCCAUGUCUGGUAUAGAUAGAGAUCGUGGGUUCGAUCCCGACCCUUAUGCUUGUAUAUUUAGAGUUUGCACGUUUUCCCCGUGGUCGCGUGGAUAUUUAUCCAGGUCCUCUGGUUUUUCCCUAUACAUUUAGAAAUGUGCGUUUAGAGUAUUUAGCUGCUAAAAAUGCCCACAUGAUAAGCCGCUUCAUUAGGCUAUCAUUUGUGGCCAGGUCGCUUCUGAAAAAGAGCUAUAUGGCUCGGUGGGUCAUAUCUAAUAAAAUGAAAACUUUAGUUUAGCAUUGGUUAUAAUAAUUUUUCUCGCUUUUUGGGACACUUUUUAAUGAGCCCAUGAUUGGAGCUGGCUUUUAAAUGAGUUGCUUAAAAAUGUAUAAUUAAUAUGCCUUUCAUAAAAUCUCUUCAUUAGUAGAUGUACACUACUAAUACAUGCAACUUGCCUCCUGAUGCAUUAUUUUUAGAUGUUACAUCUUGAUUCCAAUAUUAUUUUGCCUAUUGACAUUUAAUUAUAAAUCAUGAAUCAGGAAAUUAAUUGGUAAAUUGGAUACAAGAGGUUCAAUCCGAGAUUUUAUAACUUUUAUACUGUAUGGUUGGUUACCACACAAAGUUUCCCACAAUGAUCUAAUACUGUAUAUGGAGCCUGCUAAGAUACAUAUUAAUGAUGUUUUAUAAGCUAGGUAUUGCAGGAUUACAAUAUGGUCGAGCGUAUGGCUAUAAACCAUUAAAAUAAAAAUGUCACCUCCUUGGUUGAUUUGAGUCACAGAAAGGGUCAGCCUGAAGUUCUAAAUGUAUUCAAACUUUGCAAUAAACAUGGAAAAUUAUGAUCUACAUCAUCGGUGAAUCAAUUAUAUCAAUAAACAUUCGGGAUAUACUUUAUGUCCCAUAACAGUCUUCUGGAUUUAUAUGUUGCACCUAUGGAGCUAUAAGUAUCUUUUGCUAUUUGCCAUUAAAAUAAAACCGGCUUUCUCCUUAUUUUCUACAAGGCCCUAUCUCAAACAGGAAAUAGUAGGCAAUGCAUACACUAUAAUCUGACCAAAAUCUUGGGUAAAUCUGUCAGGCGAAUAUCCUCUGAAGAUGAACUUGGUGAUCAAUUGGCUUCUUUAAUGGAAUCACACUCGGAGAAAGACUAAAAGAUAGAUUGCGGUUCCCAAACUCUGACAGAUUGUGUACCACUAAUUUUAAACGACACUUUGAGUACCACCAGCAAAUGUAUCCACAAUGGAAACAGACUAUGUAUUAAAACAACAUUAAAACUAUUAGUGUUCAUAACACAUAUCUUUGAUAAAUUAUGGUAGCCAUAUAAAACCGUUAUAAAUUGCAAAAAGAUAUUACAAACAUACUCCUCCAGAGAUCCAUUUGGCGUUUUAGGGAUGUCCUUCAUGGGAUGGGUGAUAUUUCUUGACAGAGCAGUUGUCAGAUGUCUGGUGAAUUCUUGGUUGAUUUCAGCCAAAGGUCCGAUUCUGCAUUGAGCUUCCCGCUUUUGUUUUUAAUCGCAAUCGUGUGGCGAGAUGCUAAACUAACAAUUCUGAAACUCAUCUCAAACUUACUUUUCAGUUCUUCUUCUCUUCUUAUUUAGUGCUGCCUAACGGCGUGUGCGACUUCACGAUAUUGGUCCCGGUCUAGCACGGCGUGUAGAGUUUGUGCUGUUGUUAAUUGUAGCCAUGUUUUGAUGUUACUGAGCCAUGUCGUUUUGGCCGUCCUGGUCGUUUUUUCCCUUCGAUUUUUCCUUCCAGGAUUUGCUUUAAUAUCUGGUAUUUGUGGUCGUUAAGGGUGGUCAAAUAUCACAUCAAAAGUACUUUCCUUGGUGUGUGUUUAAAAUCACAGGACAGUGAAUGGUUGUAUUUUACAAAGUAA